GCGGCCGCCGGGCAGGCGCUGCCAUCGCGGCGCGGGCUCGGCGCCUCGCGAGACGGCCGCCGCCGGGAAUGUGCUGCCUCUGGGGAUACAAGAGAGAGGAGAAGAGCAGACACAGGAACCUUGAGUGCACCUAUGAGAUGGGCCAGGGUGUAUCCCCGUUCUUCCACUCUUUUCAUCCAACUGGUGGGACCAACAGUGGUUGCUGGUUAUGAAGCUGGAAAUAGCUCUGAGAAUGCUUUAGGGAAGCAUGACUGUGACUGACGAAAAAGACCCAGAAAAGAACAUUAAGGCUCACACACAGGCCUUGUCUGCACUGGGGAAUUUCUUCCCUCCUCCAAAUUCCCACCAUUGCCAAUAUGAAUGCAGCUGCACAAUUGUUAGAGAUGUUGGGAGGCAUAAUAUAUGAGUUUUCAUCUAGUCAGCCAUUUGCAGCACUGUGUCAAUUAACCCUCCUCAGAGCAGGGUUAACUGAUACAGUGCUGAAAACGGCUGCUGGAACUGAAAGCUGUCUAUACUAAGGUUCCCAUUGUUGCUAACUCUGGUGCAGCUGCAGUGGAAUCAGUCCACGUGGGAUUAUUUGGUAACAAUUCUCCAGCCUAAAAACUGCUUCAAAAUGCAACACAGCCACCUAAUGGGCCAAAACACACUUCCGCCGUACCUCAACAGCUAUGCACCCAGGCUGCUGCCACUCAUAAUGGAGUUUCUUUCAGUCCAGAAGGUAAUUUUUGCAUUUCUGUAUGAAAUACUCAGUACUUCAUCUAAGCAAACUGGUGUCCCUGUCACCCCCAUGGAAUUGCCUCUGCUCAUUAGUUCUUACUAGUUCUGGACUUGAAGAUGUGUGCUGGAAGAGCCAAUUUUCUGUUAGUGUCUUUUCAUUGAUUCAUACAUUCAAUAAUUCAAAAUUUGUCCUUUCACAUGUGGAAACUUUGUAGUUGGUUUUUGGUUUUAAUUUCUUUAUGCAGGUUCAGUUUUUAAUUUAUGGCUGGAGUUUCUGGUUCACUAGAAUUUUGCUUUUUUUGCUGUUAACAAGUAAAGCCUUAUUUAUGCAGAGCAGCACCAUGAAGAUUCAAGCUGACUUUUGAGGGAGUAAAGUUCUAUUUUGAAUGGGCAGAGUUGGCAGAAUCAGUCCCACUUGUUUCCAUGUGCUUUAGGAAGCAGUUAUGAAACAGGCUGGUGAAAUGGGUAUUUCACCCUCUGCUGAGUAAGACUAAUACCUCUAAAAAGCCCCUCUCUAUCCUUCUCCUACAUCCAUGUCCAACACUAACUAAAACAAGGAAGUGUUGUUUGGCAUUUUUUACACUUUUGAACCACUAUUUAUCAGACAGAUGCUGGCAGUCAGGUUUUUUUAAGUGCGAUUUACAAGUGUGAAAAUGUUGAAGCCUAGGCUCGGCAAAAAUCUCAGUGAAAAACUCUAACUCACUAAAGCCCCUGGUUAAUGACAAGCAGGUUUCAGUUCAUGCAUGGCAUUUUAUGCAAAUACAGAACACAGCUAUUUGCAGAAUUUUGGGCGACUUCAUAUGCCUAUGACUAUCUACAGAGGCUCAACAUACCCGCCCAGGGAAAUGGCAACAGGGCAGACCCAGAGGAGAUGCAAUCCACAGCUUCCCAGCUAUAGCAGUGAGCACUAGAGCUUAGCUCAGGGUGUUGGGAUGUGGAGCAAAACUGAUUUGGCAGAAACUUGGAUACAGCUGAGUAUUUUGAGAAAGGGGAAAGGAAGUGGCUCACUCUUCCUUCAUUCCUGAUACUGCUGUGGUGGCUGUUUCUCUCUCCCAGAGAUCCCUUUGGACAAAGGGAGUGGGCACAGUAACUGAGUUGCCUGCAAAGCAGGUGUGACAGCUGUCUGUGGAAGGAAGGAGUAGCUCCAUACUGACUACCCUUUUAGCUCAGAUUGAGCUGUGGGGAUGCAUGAUUACAAUUGUCAUACAACUUGGUAAACAUGUUUAUAUGUUUGCUUAAACAGAUUUCAUUAAUUUCCUGAAGGAUUCUUAUAAAAAUGCUAGAACUCCCAUACCAAAUCCCAGUGGAACUGGAUUUCUCCUCUCCCUUACCCCUUUCCCUUUUCCCUUCAAUAUUAGGCUCAGUAUCUGCAUAUGGUUUUAUAUGAAACUCAGUGAUUAAAACUACUUAAGACUUGCUCA